UGCUUGGGGUUGAAAGACCCCCAGAGUGGGGAGACCCUCACUCAAGUCUUGGGAUAAGCCGACGCCCCAAUAAUUCAAGAGAGACU
rnacentral:pre_miRNA from 11 species